UCAACCUGGUUGAUCCUGCCAGUAGUCAUAUGCUUGUCUCAAAGGUUUAGCCAUGCAUGUGUAAGUAUCAGAUAUUUAUAUCUAAACUGCGAAUGGCUCAUUAAAACAGUUAUAGUUUCUUUGAUGAUUAAAUUACUUGGAUAACCGUAGUAAUUCUAGAGCUAAUACAUGCGUACAUACCUUUGUAAAAAGGU
rnacentral:rRNA from 1 species